CAGGCAAUCACUUCUUCGGAAGGCCAGCAAGUGGACGAGAGAUGAUCAGAAGACAGCUGCCACUAUCCACUACGAACUGGCCAACGUCUACAAGGACCUCAGACAGUUCCAAGAGGCUUUGCAGAAUUUUAAUGCAUCGGUAAAUGCUGACCCAACAUUCACGUCUGCGCAUCUGAACCUGGGAGCUGUGUAUCACCUGUUGGGGGAGUACAAGAAAGCCAGGAAACACUACCAAGUUGUGCUGACGCUGGACCUCAUAACCAGCUAGUUGUCGCAAACAGCCUCGUCAAACUUGAGCGAGCGGAGCAGCAGAAACGGGACGGAAACAGAUAAUGACAUUGUCGACAAGUUUAACUUCACUGGUCCAAAUUCUCAAAGGGGGAGGUUCUACUGUCCUGGCCCAGUGUCGCAGUAUUUGACUGCGUUGGUCCAAAAUCUCAGAUGGGAAGGCUGGAUUUGUUGGUACUUCUCGUAAGCGGGAAGAUUUGAUUGUGUCCGUACCAGGUCUCAAAAUCGUGUAAGGGGAACGUUCGACUGUGUUGGUUCACAGAAGAAAUGUUUAACUUGGUUGGCCCAAAGUCUCAGGUGUUCACUGCGUUGGCCAUU